AUGAUAUUUUUUUUAAGUAAUUUAGUAAUUUUUUUUAAUUACUAUUCUAUUGAAAUUAAUUUUAUAUUCUUUUUGUAGUCUCAUAAACAAAAAGGAAAUUAUGAGUGCGGAUACUAUGUAAUGAAGACAAUGCAAACUAUUGUUGAUUCACAAAUAGUAUCUGGGUGGACUGAAAUAUUUAUAGAUCGAUCACCAUUGCCGCUAGAAGACAUAAACAUCAUUAGGGAGCAAUGGGCCACAGUUUUUAUUGACCAUUACUUUAACUAGUUUGGACUUAUGUUUUAUAGUAGUGCUUUAACUAGUUAGAACUUACAUUUCAUUGAGCAAUGUAGUCCAUUUAUGUAUUAGAUGUAUUUAAAACUAUUCAAUUAUAUAUAUAUGAUUAACAUUUAUCAUCUUGUCA